rnacentral:rRNA from 1 species
AUUGAACGCUGGCGGCAUGCCUUACACAUGCAAGUCGAACGGCAGCACGGGGCAACCUGGUGGCGAGUGGCGAACGGGUGAGCAAUGCAUCGGAACGUACCUUUCAGUGGGGGAUAACGUAGCGAAAGUUACGCUAAUACCGCAUAUUCUGUGAGCAGGAAAGCAGGGGAUCGCAAGACCUUGCGCUGAUUGAGCGGCCGAUGUCAGAUUAGCUAGUUGGUGAGGGAAAGGCUCACCAAGGUGACGAUCUGUAGCGGGUCUGAGAGGAUGAUCCGCCACACUGGAACUGAGACACGGUCCAGACUCCUACGGGAGGCAGCAGUGGGGAAUUUUGGACAAUGGGGGCAACCCUGAUCCAGCCAUGCCGCGUGAGUGAAGAAGGCCUUCGGGUUGUAAAGCUCUUUCGGCCGGGAAGAAAUCGCACGGGCUAAUACCCUGUGUGGAUGACGGUACCGGAAUAAGAAGCACCGGCUAACUACGUGCCAGCCGCCGCCGUAA